AUGCACACAACCCAUGCACACAGCUACUGGACUCUCAAGGUCUGGGGGGAACCAACCCGCAGCAGUGGCAGUGCAGGGGAGCUGAAAACAAAUCAAGCUUUGGAGCAUCUGAUUCAAGUGAACUCACUAACAACCCCAGCUGGAGCAAAGAACAACAAAGUGUCAGCAAAGAAAGAUCCCACAACUCUCUCCUCAACUCUUACCAUACAUUUAGCAGAAAAAGAAGAUAUGGCCAUUUACUACUGUGCUGCCUGUGAAACCAACACCACAUGGAUAAAAAUAUUUGGAGAAGGAACUAAGCUCAUUGUAAUUCCCCCUACUAAAAGAACACACUCAGACGUUUCCCCCAAGCCCACUAUGUUUCUUCCUUCAGUGGCUGAAACAAAUAUCUAUAAGGCUGGGACAUAUCUUUGUCUCCUGGAGAAAAUUUUCCCUGAAGAUAUUAAGGUGUUUUGGAAGGAAAAAGAUACUGAUAGGAUUCUGGAAUCCCAGCAGGGAGAUGCGGUGAAGAUUAACGACACCUACAUAAAACUUAGCUGGUUAACUGUGGCUGGAGACUCACUGGCUAAAGAGCACAAACUUAUUGUCCAACAUGAGAAUAAUAAAGGAAGAGUUGAUCAGAAGAUUGUCUUUCCUCCAAUAAAGAAAGCUAAAAUAGAAGCCUGAGCCGGAUCCACCGCACAAAGGAGAACCACGCC